CAACCCUAACAGAGAUGUAAGAUUGAGAUGUCAGAAGUCAGCAGAAGUCAUAGUAUCCCGGCAGACCGGGAGAAGGAC
rfam:Ignavibacteria bacterium RIFOXYC2_FTLL_35_21 rifoxyc2_full_scaffold_4320, whole genome shotgun sequence.